rnacentral:rRNA from 1 species
GAUGAACGCUAGCGACAGGCUUAACACAUGCAAGUCGAGGGGCAGCGGGGGAGUAGCAAUACUCCCGCCGGCGACCGGCGCACGGGUGAGUAACACGUAUGAAACCUGCCCGUAGCAGGGGGAUAAGCGGAAGAAAUUCCGUCUAAUACCGCGUAACAACCCUUGGAGGCAUCUCCCCGGGGUUGAAAGGAAGCGAUUCCGGCUACGGAUGGUCAUGCGUCGCAUUAGCUAGUUGGCGGGGUAACGGCCCACCAAGGCGACGAUGCGUAGGGGUUCUGAGAGGAAGGUCCCCCACACUGGUACUGAGACACGGACCAG